UAGGUAGGUACAGAGGGCAGCCACCCAGUGAUGGGGAGCGAAUCUCGAAAGCCUAUCUCAGUUCGGAUUGGAGGCUGAAACUCGCCUCCAUGAAGUUGGAUUCGCUAGUAAUCGCGCAUCAGCCAUGGCGCGGUGAAUACGUUCCCGGGCCUUGUACACACCGCCCGUCAAGCCAUGGGAGUUGGGGGUGCCUGAAGUUCGUGACCGAAAGGAGCGACCUAGGGCAAAACCGAUGACUGGGGCUAAGUCGUAACAAGGUAAC
rnacentral:rRNA from 1 species